GAUUACAAAAGCAAGGUUCAGAGAACCCCAAGAUCACUUGGAACCCUCAAGAGGAAUUUCAGGAAAUUGUACCAAAUAUGAACCCUAAGUAAAUGUUUCCUCUUAAAAUGGAUCAUUUCUACCGAGGAGAUCAUUUCCUACCACGUAGCAGCAAAGUUUGAAAUAACAGAUUAUACUAUUUCUGGACAGCAGUAACAUGAACAGCAAAGGACUUCCAAGAGAUACCUAUAUGCAAGGAUCCAACAAUUAUAGCACUCUCUGAAGAAAAUAGUUUCAAAAAGACUCUGACCGGGCUUCCCUCGUGGCGCAGUGGUUGAGAGUCCGCCUGCCGAUGCAGGGGACAUGGGUUCGUGCCCCGGUCCGGGAAGAUCCCACAUGCCGCGGAGCGGCUGGGCCCGUGAGCCGUGGCCACUGAGCCUGCGCGUCCGGAGCCUGUGCUCCGCAACGGGAGAGGCCACAACAGUGAGAGG